rnacentral:rRNA from 1 species
AGCAGCCGCGGUAAUUCCAGCUCCAAUAGCGUAUAUUAAAGUUGCUGCAGUUAAAAAGCUCGUAGUUGAAUUUCGGGACCAAUAUGUCGGUCGUGCCUCGGUACGUACUGGCAUCGUUGGUUUCUCCCUUCUGACGAACCAUGAUGUCAUUUAUUUGGUGUCGUGGGGAAUCAGGACUGUUACUUUGAAAAAAUUAGAGUGUUUAAAGCAAGCUAACGCUUGAAUACAUUAGCAUGGAAUAAUGAAAUAGGACGUUCGAUCCUAUUUUGUUGGUUUCUAGGAUUGACGUAAUGAUUAAUAGGGAUAGUUGGGGGCAUUAGUAUUCAAUUGUCAGAGGUGAAAUUCUUGGAUUUAUUGAAGACUAACUACUGCGAAAGCAUUUGCCAAGGAUGUUUUCAUUAAUCAAGAACGAAAGUUAGGGGAUCGAAGACGAUCAGAUACCGUCGUAGUCUUAACCAUAAACUAUGCCGACUAGGGAUCGGAUGAUGUUAAUUUUUAAUGACUCAUUCGGCGCCUUAAC